CUAAACGGCUACCAUUAUGGUAUGGGGGCAAACAAAGCGCUUGAAAAUGGAGAAAUGUGUUUUUGAUUGUUCAAUUAAUGUUAAUAGUCAUCCGAACUUGAUUUUUUAUAUUUUGCUUCCUGAUCCAAAGAGAAGAAGAUCGGGGCUUUAUGCUUUAUAUAGAACUGAUUCAUCUUGCAAAAACAAACUUUGGUCGCAAAACAUGUCUAAAAUAUUAUGUACAAAAAAGUCAUUGCAAUAAAUCUCAAGUUAUUCAAGUCAGUGAACAAAUAAGUACUGACAAUUCGUUGACUGGAGUGGAAGAUGUUAGUGUCUUGAACCAACAUGAAACAACAAGUUAACUUAGCUGAGAAUGAUGGUAGUUUAAAAAUAAUGCAGCAUUGGCUAGUAGAGUUUCUGCUGUUGUCACUGGUUUUAGAGAGUACCUUCGUGAAUGAAGAUAAAAAGUCAUUUAUGUUAUUUUUUAAAAGCCAAGACAUA
rnacentral:lncRNA from 1 species